rnacentral:rRNA from 1 species
UACGGAGGGUGCAAGCGUUAUCCGGAUUCACUGGGUUUAAAGGGAGCGUAGGUGGGUUGGUAAGUCAGUGGUGAAAUCCCCGAGCUUAACUUGGGAACUGCCAUUGAUACUAUCAGUCUUGAAUACUGUGGAGGUUAGCGGAAUAUGCCAUGUAGCGGUGAAAUGCUUAGAUAUGACAUAGAACACCAAUUGCGAAGGCAGCUGGCUACACGAAUAUUGACACUGAUGCACGAAAGCGUGGGGAUCAAACAGG